UAAGAUUAUAGGGGAGUACCACUGU
rnacentral:piRNA from 1 species